CAGUAAGCGGAGGAAAAGAAACUAACCAGGAUUCUCCUAGUAACGGCGAGUGAACGGAGAUUAGCCCAUCACCGAAGCUCGGUGCUUUUGCAUGCAGAGCAAUGUGGUGUUUGAGCGUGAGCCUGGGUCUGUGUGCUGUCUCCAAGUCCAAUUCCGAUUGUGGCUAGAGAUAUUGCCUCCAAAGGGUGAAAGGCCCGUUCGUGACGGCAAAUCAUGGACCUCAGAUGCUUGCGCUUACGAGUCGGAUUGCUUGAGAAUGCAGUCCAAAGUGGGUGGUAAACUCCAUCCAAGGCUAAAUACUGGCACGAGUCCGAUAGUAGACAAGUACCGUGAGGGAAAGUUGAAAAGUACUCUGAAGAGAGAGUAAAUAGUACGUGAAACCGGUUGCAGGGAAGCUGGUGGAGUCAGGCUUCUUGCUUGUCACAUUGGUCGGGGGAGUGUAUUGUGAGACGGUCCCGGAGCUGGUUAAACUAAAAUGUUUGGAGGCAUUCGCGUGUCUUUCAAGUCAUUUAUGUUAUUGUGAUUGUGCCGGUUUCGGGAUUCGAGCUCUCCCAGCGUUAUGUGGCUAUGCAAAGAUCGCAGUGAAUAGUGUACGAGCAAUAAGCGAGGGCCUAACUGUGCUCUGACUGGUCUCGUGCUAGUUGGGUGCAGAAUGGCAGGUGGCGAUCACGCGUCUCGGCGCGUGUGUCGCUUUAACGAGUCUCGACUCGCCGGACCUCGUGACAAUUAUUGUCUCCGCUAUUUGGUGUCAAUGGGCUGUCAUAUUCGUAUUUCAGUCUAUUAAGAACUGCGAUUCCGAGGUAGAUUUCCACCCGACCCGUCUA
rnacentral:rRNA from 1 species